rnacentral:rRNA from 1 species
GACGAACGCUGGCGGCGUGCUUAACACAUGCAAGUCGAACGGAGUGGCCUGCUGGUGAGUAAUACGUGGGUAACCUGCCCUCCUUUUUGGGCUACGCUUUGGAAGCGGGGUCUAAUACCGGAUAAAGGGGGAGGGGCUCGGGGCCUAUCAGCUUGUUGGAGGGGUGAUGGCCGACCAAGGCGGGGACGGUUGUCCGGGCUGGGAGGGGGACCGACAAAAUUGGGACUGAGAUAAGGCCCAGACGACUAAGGGGGGGAGCAUAGGGGGAGAUGGCACAAUGGGCGAAAGCAUGAGGCAGCGACGCCGCGUGGGGGAUGAAGGCUUUGGGGUUGUAAACCUGGGGCGCUAUCGAACGGGUAGGUGGAGAAGAAGCGCCGGCUAACUACGUGCCAGCAGCCGCGGUAAUAC